rnacentral:rRNA from 1 species
AUGGGGUCGAGCGGGACGCGGACAAAGCCGGGAGGCGAAGGCAAGGCAACACAGCGGCGGCCUGUGCUCACCGCUGCGGCGGACGGCAGAGCAAGAAGGAGCCCUGCGACGGGGCUCAGCAAAGCACUGGCCUGGUUUGUCGUUGUCACCGAUCGCGACAUCUUGGGGCACCGGAGGGACGUCAUGGAGGACGGGAUCCGGUGGAGGUCGAGGCAGGGGUUCAGAGCAGAGGCGAGAUGGCGCGAUGGCGGCCUCUACUCGUCAGCGUCGGAGGACGAUAUUGUGGAGCAGCUGUGGCAGAGCAGCUUGGGGACGGUGCAGGGGAGGCAGCGGCGAGGCGCAGGCACGAGGGCUCUGCAUGGGGCGAGGAGGAGGUUGGGGUGCACGGGGCUGCCGACGCGAGGUGGGGUGGCGGGGAUCGAGGAGAGGGCGAGGGGAUCGGCCAUGCUGGCCUUUCUUGGCGCUAGCAACGUGCGUGCGUGGGUGGUGGCGGUAGCGGGAGGACGAGAGGGAGUGGGUGAGAAGAGGGGUCAGCCUAGGGUUAGAAGGGGUGCGGGCUGGGGUUUAGAUGGCAGUGGUUGGGCCUUAGGGAGGCCGCAGAUGGGCUGCUGA